UUUUUUGGAGAGUUUGAUCCUGGCUCAGGACGAACGCUGGCGGCGUGCCUAAUACAUGCAAGUCGAGCGGACUUGAUGGAGUGCUUGCACUCCUGAUGGUUAGCGGCGGACGGGUGAGUAACACGUAGGUAACCUGCCCAUAAGACUGGGAUAACUACCGGAAACGGUAGCUAAUACCGGAUAGGUUCUUCUCUCGCAUGGGAGGAGAAAGAAAGACGGAGCAAUC
rnacentral:rRNA from 1 species